UCAUCUCCAACAUGGCAAUCAUGAUUGUCAUGCAGAACAGCUUUACAAGCUGAUUCAUUACAUUCAAUGCUACUGUGCCUUUUCCUUGUCUUCUUUUUUUCAAGGAAAUUGCUUCGUAGUACUAUGACUUUAUCUAUAAUCAUAUGUUUACAUGUGUUCUCUUAUGUUUAUUGAUCACUUCAAUUGGACUCUAUCAUCUAGGUACCCAUCAUACUGUCGACCAAAUAUAUGGCCUUCCAUUUCUUUGCCUGAGCUUGAACAAGAUCCAAGAUUCUUCACGCUUAUUCUCUGAUUCAAAUUCUAGCAUCCAUCACUCAAGUUCUUGACCCAAAGAUUCAUCAACACCUAGCUUCUUUUUUUCAGUCAAAGUUUGUUCUGUUAUG